rnacentral:rRNA from 1 species
GACGAACGCUGGCGGCGUGCCUAAUACAUGCAAGUAGGACGCAGUUGCGAACGGGUGAGUAACGCGUAGGUAACUGCCUCAUAGAGGGGGAUAACUAUUGGAAACGAUAGCUAAUACCGCAUACUAGUAGAUGGACCUGCGUUGUAUUAGCUAGUAGGUAGGGUAAUGGACUACCUAGGCGACGAUACAUCUCCGACCGUAGAAGGGUAUCGGCCCAACUGGGACUGAGACACGGCCCAGACUCCUACGGGAGGCAGCAGUAGGGAAGCUUCGGCAAUGGGGGGAACGCUGACCGCGCAACGCCGCGUGAGUGAAGUAGGUUUUCGGAUUGUAAAGCUCUGUUGUUAAGGAAGCGUUACUUAACCAGAAAGGGACGGCUAACUACGUGCCAGCAGCCGCGGUAAUAC